rnacentral:lncRNA from 1 species
AUAAAAAGGAGGCUCCAACCAAAAUAUAUGAAACAAAGAUGCCCAGAAAAUAUAAGAGAAUUGGGCAUCAUGGACUGAUGGCAAGGGGACACUGAAGUCGUACAAAGGAGGGAAGUUUGAUAGUAAAGCUGCCUAGAAGGUCUAAUAGAAUUGGGCAGUAUGGAACAACUUCUACAGUUGGAAAUGAUGGGUUACUUCAUUAUAAAAGAUCAUAUGAACAUACAGGGAACCGGGCAAAAAGAGUUGAAGAACAACUAAGCUUGGAAGGAAAUUUUAAAGCCAUCGAUCAUGUUCAAAUCGUUUUGGAGAAGACCAUGGUGAUGACUAUUUUCAUUAACGAGGUUUUCUUUUUUGCCGGAUACAUUACUGUGGCUAUGUCUCAUAUAUUAAUGAAUCUUCAAUUGGUAGUAUUAGCACAUAGUACUCAUUCCACUGAAGGGGAUUCAUGUAUGAGCAUAAGCAUAGAAACAAGGCUAGGGGGCAGUUCUAAUGCCCAGUUUUCACCACUACAUCAACAACAACAACAAGUAUAAUUCCACUUAGUGGGGUUUGGGGAGGAUAGUAUGUACGCAGACCUUACCCCUACCCUGAGGUAGAGAGGCUGUUUCCAAAUAGACCCCCGNNNNNNNNNNNNNNNNNNNNNNNNNNNNNNNNNNNNNNNNNNNNNNNNNNNNNNNNNNNNNNNNNNNAGGCUGUUUCCAAAUAGACCCCCGGCAUCCUUCCCUCCAAGAACUUCCCACCUUGCUCUUGGGGAGACUCGAACUCACAACCUCUCGGUUGGAAGUGGAUGUUGCUUACCAUCAGAGCAACCCCUCUUGUCACCACUACAUAUCAUUGUGCAAAAAACUUGAGUUGGCAAAGAUUUCUAUGCAAAUUGGCUGUGUUGUGGAACGAAACUCAUAUACAAAUCUUAUCUUUAAUAUCCCAGGGAUAAAAUCAUGCAAAGGCGAUCAGACCAAAACACAUGGAUUAUUCACGAAAUUGGGCUUCAAUACAUCAUAGUGGAGUAGUUCUGGAAAUGGAAAUUGACAAGGCAAACUUGGCUGCACUUAGCAGGUAAUUUAGAGCCAAACUAUAGGUGUAUUCCAACACAGCAUUAUAGUAGGACAUAUUAGGAAGGAAUUCAAGAUAUGAUCUCAACAAAAAUCACAAAGAGGUCAUGCAAAAAUGAGUGCAGAAUUGAGGUACGAGGAAAGUUUUGGGCAGUGAUCAUGAAACAUUUGGAUCGUAGGUACAUAUGCAGAUGCUACUCAGAAUAUACUAGGAACUUUUUGACAAUACUGACACAAAUAAUGGCAUCACAACAUCAACUCUCAUCGCCAGCAUAGUGACAGUGCUAUCUUUACAAGAAGACAAGGGCUAUUUAUGCAAUCAGCAACUAGUUUGUACGCAAAAUUGGUUUUAAUUAUUUAAUAUUCAUCUUGUGAUAUCAGUGUUGAGUUCAUUGCUCAAUAUUGGUAAUAAGUUUUAUGAAAUUCUCAAAUUUUAUUUCUUUCAUAUCAU